GUGAAUAAACCUCAGUCAAUGGUCCACAGACCACAGGGCUGACUAGGCCAGGAUAGAAGAUAGGAUUUCCAGUGGCGGGAGCCUUGAAAACAUUUCUGAUUAGCUAGAGAAGUGACUGCAAGGUAUGAGUUCCUGGAGGGCAAAGCCUGGGCUCCUUGGUUGUCCUCACAGACUGGAGCUAAGCUGGAAUCACAAUGAGAAGAAGGGAUUAUCCCCUUGCACAAGCCUCAGCAAAGGGUGGUCUUGUUGGAGGAGUUAAUAGCAGAUGAGAAAACUUAGACCUCAAUAGACGUGAUUUGAGAUGGAGGUGGGCCUAGGAGUCUUGGGCUGCUCAUUUCCAGCCCAGAGCACUUGCCACUGCCCCACACAACUGAGCUCAAUCAAUUCCUGGAGGGCCUGGUUCCUAAUGCAGAGGCCAGCCAAGAGCCAGAGCUGGAGCCAGGCCUCUGGUCGUAAACUAAACAACAGAACCAGUUAUUGGUUUCAAGUCUGACUGCCUCCUCUUGUAAGGACUUUGGAACUUGGAGAAGCUCCCUUACCCUUUAUAAGCCAGCAGAAAGAAGUAUGAUUGUCAAGACCCCAGACAGAAUGGCAGGUAAAAGAAACAGCUGCUGCUAUCCAGAGUAAAUCAGUCACAAAGAAACCUGCUCCUCAUUCUGUCUCCUGGUUUCCCAUAAAUGCCUGAAGCCCAGCCUUGUAGUUGUUGUGGUAUGUGGGACGCCGCCUCAGCGUGGUUUGAUGAGCAGUGUCAUGUCCGCGCCCAGGAUUCGAACCAACGAAACACUGGGCCACCUGCAGCGGAGUGCGCGAACUUAACCACUCGGCCACGGGGCCAGCCCCCUAUGGAACACUUCUUUGAUGACAACUCUCUUCUUUACAAGUGAAUUGUUCAAAGUGAUGAUAUGACUGAAACAGGCAAGUCACCUUGACUAGUUAGUGCCAGAAGAUGCCCAACUUGCAAGUAAGGAGGCUUUCCUAUAGAGACAGAGCUUAUCAACUGGUGAUCUUCACUGUGAGAUGAUUGAGUGAGAACCUGGCUAAUUCAUUGGGGACCCCAAAAUGACAUUAUCUAUGGGUCUUUUCUUUGAGAGCAGUUCCAGUCUCCUCAGAGAUGAAUUCUCCAGUUUCCUGCCUGGAAAAUAUAUACCUGACUGCUGGUGUUCUUGGAACCAAUGUUUUUGGAGUGUAGGAAAAGGGACCUUAUUGUAGACUUUCAUUUAGUGCCCCUAUUUUCAAUAGAAUGCCCAUUCCCUAUUUUUAACUCUAUCUGGGGCAUCUGGGUCUGGGGCUUCUGUGGAUCAAUUUAGUUUGAAUAAACUUCCAAUCUCCUGCCAGAGUAGGGAAAAGGUAUUUUCCUGGCUGAGCAGGUUGAGGGAGGAGAACUAAGAGUGGUCUAGCUGCUUUUCUCGCACACAUGCAACCAAAUCCUCUGCUUUCGGCCUCUUGACACACCCCUGCUUUCUUUGGUCACUGGUGUCUCUAAUUUCUGAGCUUCCCAGGCAUUCCACAGCAUGAAUUGUCUUGCUUCUCAUUUUGCAGCCCCCACUCUGCAGACAUUUGCUCUUCAGUCCCUUCAGCUCUGCUAACCUGCAUCUACUUUCUAUCUUCCAAAAACGUCUUGGCAUAUCUAGUCUUCUGCUGCCUUCAUUACCAUUCUCUCUGUCUUUGUGGGAUUUUACCCCUUAAAAAACUAAUUUCUCUUCAUUUUAGCGUAGUUUUAGAAGAGAUAAUAGAUAAACAUGUAUUUAAUGUCAUAUUUAAUUGGAAGUCCUCCAAUUGUAUUUAUUAAAAUGAAAAAUUCACAUGCUCCUUGACUUGGAAAUCUCACUUAUGAUAAUUUAACUGUCAGAAAUAAAAGUGCCAGUAUUGUAUAGGUAAGUUUACAAGAGUGUUUACUGCAAUAGUAAUAGCAACAAUCAGAGUGUCCGCUGAUAAGGAACAGUUAUGUAAAUUAUGGUGUAUUUAUACUAUGGACUACUCUCCAAUCAUUAAAAGGAAUAAGGCAUAUUGACUUGGAAAGCCAUCCAUGAUAUAUUGCUGAGUAAAAGAGAAGGCUAUAGUAACCCCAUGUUUGUGAAAGAAAGUGAACUAGUAUUAUAUGUUUAUAUGUUUGUAUACAUGAAGAAUAAAGUGUGUAAGGAGUCAUACUAGAUUUUUAACAGUGAUUACAUUGGGGGAUGGCUUUGGAUGGGGAGUGGAAGAAUAUAUCAAUUUAACUUUAGAAACUUUUUUAUUGUCUUUGAAGUGUUUCAGUUAACCUGUGUUGCUUUUGUUAUUCAAACGCCAAAAUAAACAUGCUUAAAAAAAGUUGUAGAUGCAAGAAUGUUCACUGCAGCAUUAUUUAUGAUGGUGAAAAAUUGGAAAAUAAUAUAAAUGUCUGACAAUAAAGACUGGUUAAACACAUUUGAAAUAUCUGUAUGGCAGAAUAUUAGGAGCCUAUUAUAAUGAUCUUUUAGACAAAUUUUAAUGUUGUGGUAAAAUGGUCAUGAAUAAUGCAAGGUGAGAAAAGUAGAAUACGAAAUCGUAUAUACUUUGUAAUUCCAAUGUUGUAAUUAAAAUGUAAUGCGCACAAAAAACUGGAAGGAAAUUUGCUGUAUUGGUUAUUUAACACUGCAUAACAAACUUAGUGAUGUAAAAUGACAAUUAUUGGUUAUUAUCUCUCAAGACUCUGAGGAUUGACUGGGCUUAUUUAUGUGGCUCUUGCUCAGAGUCUCUCAUACAGUUGCAGUCAGACAAUGGCUAGAGCUGGAGUGAUCUC
rnacentral:lncRNA from 1 species